GAUGAACGCUAGCGGCAGGCUUAACACAUGCAAGUCGAGGGGUAUAGGUUUUCGGACCUAGAGACCGGCGCACGGGUGCGUAACGCGUAUGCAAUCUACCUUUCACAGAGGGAUAGCCCAGAGAAAUUUGGAUUAAUACCUCAUAGUAUAGCAGUUUCGCAUGAAACCACUAUUAAAGUUCCAACGGUGAAAGAUGAGCAUGCGUCCCAUUAGCUAGAUGGUAAGGUAACGGCUUACCAUGGCUACGAUGGGUAGGGGUCCUGGGAGGGAGAACCGCCACACUGGUACUAUGACACGGACCAGACUCCUACGGGAGGCAGCAGUGAGGAAUAUUGGUCAAUGAACGCAAGUCUGAACCAGCCAUGCCGCGUGCAGGAUGACUGUCCUAUGGAUUGUAAACUGCUUUUGUACGAGAAGAAACAACAUUACGUGUAAUGUCUUGACGGUAUCGUAAGAAUAAGGAUCGGCUAACUCCGUGCCAGCCGCCGCCGUAAGAC
rnacentral:rRNA from 1 species